GUGGUUGAGCCUUUCUCGGGGCACAGGCCUGCAGUGGCUGACCUCCCGUCCCUGCCAGGCUUCCUGCCCAGCACGUCCCCCAAGGUCUCUGUCACAUCUCCUGGGCUUUCUGCUGAGGACCUGGUGCUCGUGGGUGAGAGCUGGAUCUGAGAGACGAGGACGAGUUGCUGAAACCGGGAGGGAGCCCUCGCUUGGGGUGGGCUCCCCUCGUCCCGCGUGUCCCGCUGCGGGGCUGCCUCCGCGCGGCUGUCCCCCCCCGUCCAGUGUAACCUCCGGGUCCGUUCGCAUUAAACCACUGUGAAGCCGAGUCUCUGCCUCGUCCUGUGGGCUUGGGGAGGGCGGGAGGGCCGGGCUGGGGGUAUGGACACAACUGGGGUCAGACUCCUCUCGGCAGAACGCAUGGCGGCUUGGGAUGGCCGGGAUGCAGCAAGCGGGGCCGGGCUCUUCCUGGGGAGCCACCACCGGGCCUGUCACCUCCACACCCGUCACCGCGCCGCUGUGCACCUCGCUGCCCCCUGGGGCAGCCCCCGGGGAGCUGUGGCCCCCCUCUCGCCUCGCCUGGCUGCAGCCCCACAGGGCCACCUGCUGCGGGGGAAAGGAGCCCCCCAGGACCGGCCGGGGCCGGGAGCCGCAGCAGCAAGGCUCACCCCGCACCCAGGUACGAAGCCGGGUGCCAAGCCCAAGCUGCAGCGUGCCGGUGGGGCUCCAUCCGCCAUACCCAGACCCGUCCCCCAGGACAAGGAGACAAAGAUCGACUACUCAGGAGCUGCCGUGCAACAGGAGCCCAGAGCUGAAGGAAAAUGCUGAGAGCACAGACCGGCUGCGUGCAGCAUGGGCUGGCUGGGCAGGAUGGAGGCCUGGUCCCGCACGAGCGCAGCCCUUCGGGACAGGGCAGCUGCAGGCAGGCUGCGCUCAGCCUUUCCUGGCUCGAGGCCGAAGUGCUCAAGGCCAGCUGAAAAACGAGUGUCCUGGGAGCACGCCCCAGUGGGAGGUGUUUGCGCUUCUGCAUCGAGUUUUGUCAGGGUUUUGUGUUUGGCUUGGGGUGAGUGUU
rnacentral:lncRNA from 1 species